ACGCGUGCAUAAUGGCGGCUCCGUACGGCGGGUGCGUACUGCCUACUACGCGUGCAUAUUUGCGGCUUCGUACGGCGGCUCCGUACUGCCUACUGCGCGUGCAUAAUGGCGGCUCCGUACGGCGGCUCUGUACGGCGCCUGCGUACGGCGGUUGCGUUCGCUGAGGCGGUGUGGUUGAGCGGAGCAUGCGCAGGUGUCCCGUCCGAGCUGAAGCGGUCGGUAUGGCUGCCAGUGCCAAGUCGUUCCUGUCCGAUGCGGGCUAUGGGGAGCAGGAGCUGGACGCGAACUCUGCUCUCAUGGAAGUCGACAAAGGUCUCAGGUAUGGGAAGCUCGGAGAGCAGUGCGAAGCCGUCGUUCGUUUUCCCAGGCUCUUCCAGAAAUACCCGUUCCCCAUUCUCAUUAAUUCAGCUUUCCUAAAGUUGGCUGAUGUGUUCUGAGUCGGAAACAACUUCCUGAGGCUCUGUGUGCUGAAAGUUACUCAGCAGAGUGAGAAGCACUUAAGAGAAGAUCCUAAAUGUGGAUGAGUUCGUCAAAAGAGUCUUCUCCGUCAUUCACAGCAAUGAUCCAGUUGCUCGGGCCAUUACCCUUCGGAUGUUGGGCAGCAUAGCGUCUGUCAUUCCAGAAAGGAAGAAUGCACAUCACAGUAUUCGUCAAAGUUUGGAUUCCCAUGAUAAUGUGGAAGUUGAGGCUGCAAUAUUUGCUGCUGCCAAUUUUUCUGCACAAUCAAAGGAUUUUGCUGCUGGCGUAUGUAAUAAAAUCAGCGAGAUGAGACAAGGUUUGGCCACACCUGUGGACUUACUGAAGUUGAUCCCUAUUCUACAGCACAUGCAUCAAUGAUGCUAGCCUAGCCUCCAGCUCCCGGCAGCUGCUCCAGCAGCUGGUAACAUCAUAUCCCUCCACCAAGAUGGUCAUUGUUACUCUGCACACCUUUACUCUGCUUGCUGCUUCUUCUUUUGUUGACAUUCCUAAGCAGAUCCAGCUUUUGUUGCAGUACUUGAAGAAUGACCCCAGGAAGGCUGUGAAGAGACUUGCAAUCCAAGAUUUAAAGUUGCUGGCCAACAAGACACCACAUACGUGGAGCAGAGAAAACAUUCAGGCACUCUGUGAAUCUGCUCUUCACACUCCUUAUGACAGCUUGAAGCUGGGCAUGCUGUCUGUUCUUUCCGUGUUAUCGGGGACCAUUGCCAUAAACAGUACUUCAGCACUGCUCCAGGUCUUUGCCGUUUCCAGUCCCAGGAGCUCUGCAGGAAGGGCCAACUCAUGCGAAUUGCAGAGCAACCAUCUUUCCCUCCUGCAUCCAGCCGGAGAGCAUAGCCUGUCAGCACUGACCGUGCUUUGCAAGGCUGGGAAAAACACCCCGAUGUGGAAGAGAGCAUCCACUCCGCUGAUGUCCGCAGGAGCAGCGUCUUCCCUUCUUGCUGCCAGCCCCACUUCCCUCCCCGCGAUUUCCAGGUCAAAGACACAGCGAAGAGCCCGAGUCGGAGACAGCCAAAAAGUUCGGUAGAGGAAGCUCUGGCUCAGUGUCUUCACUGUUCGCACUGUUUGCGCUGCCUCGCCUCCGCUUUAACCCGCUCAGGCACUGCCGGCCGGGACAGCCCGCAGCCUCCACCGCAGAGGCGGGCAGGAGCAGCACGGCUGGGCCGGCAGCACUGUCCUGGCACUUACACGGAGGGAAGGGAGGAGAAGAAAAGUGAGAGGAAAAGGAGCAGAGGGAAAAUGCGAGUACGAAGAAGCCGCAGACAGCAAGGGAGAGGCAGGCGCGGGCUGCACUGGCACCCAGCGACGGCGGCCGGGACCGCUCCGGGAAGCGGCGGCGCCGGCUCCGGACCGGGCACCGCGACGGGAAGGGGAGUGGAGGAAUCUCUCCUGAGGACUGGGCUUCCCAAAGCCCCUGCUCCUAAACUGGAGGAGCUGGGAGUUUCUAAUAACCUACAUUUUGGGGCGGGGAGAAAGGAAAGGGAAAAAGAAAAAGGGAAAAAGGAAAAAAAUCCAAACCUCGACCUUUUCCCAUGUAGUCCUCAAGGGUGCUUGUCCAAGCCACGAAAAUGGGAAGUGCCUGGGGGAAGGUCGCAUGCAUUUCACUCUUUGUAUGGCACCAGACUGUGUUACUUUCCAGUGCAGCUGAAGGAGAAAUGAAGCCUUACUGGUGAGAACUGAACAAAUCUUUCCAGAUUCAUCUACCUGUGUUUCACAAGUCUGAGAGCAAAUCUGUCUUUUCCUGCAAGAUAAAAAACAUUUUGCAUUUCAUUUCAAAGAGACAAAGUUAAAUAGUGCUGCAUAACAAGGGCAAUGUUUCAAUAGGAGCCCCAGUAAUAGAUGUUCUAUGCUGAGUAGUUUUAUGUAGCAAUGACAACAUAGUCAAUUGAUGAAUAAGUUAAAAUGUUUUAGGACUCACUCAAAACCCACUCUAUAUAGCAGCGUAAGCAUGUCCAUUUUCCAGAUAGGCUACAUCCGUCAGUUAUACGAAGUGAAGGGAUAGGGAAAGCCUUCUGAUAUCAUGAAAAAUCUUUGAAUGUAGCAAGCUUUUCUUUGCCUUUCUACUGUGCUUAAUCUUACCCACCUAAUCCUGUACAGCCAUUCGCCUUACGGAAAUAUUUUGUGAUAUGGAGAAAUUCUGUAGAAGGAAACAGGAGUAUGCGAAUUAGAUUAUACCCAUAGCCUGGAUCCAUCUGGCACUGCCUGGUUUAGGAAAGCCAGAAGAGAUCAUACAAUUUCCUCACCUUCCUGCUAUGAUUUUUACAACUUAUCUUAAAAGUCUCCCUUUUUCCACUUGAAAACGACCCAGGACUGGAAAUAUGAGGGCUGUACUAACACAGACUGUAUAUUCUGGCUAAAACCAGAAGUCAUUCAUUCUAGCAGUACCCUGAUAUAUCUGGCAUGCUUAUAAAUUUGGGAACUAGGCAAUACAAGUUCUGAACCUCAUUUUUUUUCCACACCAAAUUAAACAUCUGAGUUUCACUUGCCAUUGCCCAGUGCUGCAGUUGGCUACAUAAUUGCCUCUUCCUAAUGAGCUGAAGCUCCACACAUCUUGUCGUUUGUAUGGUUUUGUGCUAUGGAUACAAGGAUUAGCAAGGAUUUAGGAUUAAGAUCACAUUCAAAAGAUGAAUAACUUACCACUUUGUGUAUUCCACCAGCAGGAAAGUUAAGUGAAGUGCCAGGCACUAUAGUGCCCUGUGAACUCCCAUCACCAGAGAAAGGUAUGGAGAAAAGUGGGUUUGACCUCAAAAUCAUGAAUCCCAGAGUUUAGGAGGCUACACUGGGAGCAGCCUCUACCCUUGCAUGCUGAGGGAGGGACCUCUGAGAAGUAAAGAGGUCCCUGGAGGCAGCAGGAAACUUCCUAUGUCCCAUGGGAGCAAAACCUCCCACACUCCCUCCCCACAGAUGUCAUGGCAGGAACAAGGAAAACUCCCUUUUGUGCUUCUGUAAACCUCAUCAAGCUCGAAAGUUAGCUGCUGCACCCCCACAAAACCUCUAGCUGAGACAGUAAUAGAAGAGAGGCAAUUUCUCAAGCAGGCUGAAAUUUCAGCCACUGCCAUUCUCCCACACAGUUCACACAGUGAACUCCCUUCUCCCAUUUAUAUUUUCAUUCCUCUCCCGAGUGCCAUGACAAGUUAGCUCUUUGUGCUUGGCACUUCAAUUACUCCCUCAGAGCACUUGAACUGCUGAGCCCUCCCAACAAAAUGAGGAUAAUGCAUAACGCUCAUCGUUUGCUGUGGUGCGUCUGUUUCCCCCUUCCCAGGUUUGCAACCUGACUGGAGAGGCACAAGCACUGACAGCUGAACAAAUCCCAUGACACCAAAGGAGCCCUGAGGUUCAGGGCUGCCCAGCACAGCAAAAGGGGAUGCUCCCUUCCUUAGUCCUUCCCAGAAGUAUUACUCUUCAUACCACCCACAUGAAUAGCCACUUUCAGAUGCAGUGACCAAGGCACAGAAGCGGAAGUGUCAGACAUUUCCAGCCCGAGCAGCCUUUAGCAACAUUAGCAGCUGAAAUCAACACCACUUAGCUUCUGUCUGUCAAGGCUUGAACUGGACUGCUUCUUAUUAAAAAAAAAAAUCAAGAAACACCAACACAUAUGCAUAGCAUUACAUAUAAUAUUACGUAUAUGCUGUUACUCAUUCUUACAAAGCCUAUUUCUCUACUAGAACGCCCUGUUAUUAUUGACUUCUCCUUGGUCAGACUGACUCCAGCACCAGGAAUCACAUUUACCUGCAGCCCAAGAGACAUCACUCCUUUUGCCAUAAAUACCCUCACAAUAGAGCGUUACAAUGGCUAAAAUUGCUGCUCAAUUAAUUGCCAUAUACUUCCUGCCAAAUUGCCUGUAAUAGUGCUGCCAUUGGCAUAGAAGGAAAGAAUACGGCCUUUUAAAGUGCUCUGAGGUCACAUUAGCCUUGCACAUGCUCCAUUACCCGUGACCUUGUCUAGAAGUGUGUAUCAGAUGUUUGCCUUGGGCAGCUAUACUCCUCAUGUAUAGAGGCACCAGGCUUGACACUAAAGGGGGUCCCUGUUAGGAGAUGUGGAGCAGCCAGGAGAAAAGGGUCAGAGACCCUAGAAGAACUGUCCUUGAUCUCCCAGCAGGAACUUACCUUGAGGGACCAAUGCAGCCAAAGGGAGAAGAGGCCAAUGCUUGAAGAACAAGAGGAAGCUUCCAGAGGGCUAAGGAGAAGCCAAGGAGAAGCAAAGGUGUCCAUUUGAGGGAGAGAAGCAUGCCAGGUGUGGAGGUGCACUUAGGUCCCUGCCUCUUCACUUGAGGAGUGGAACCAAGGGGAAAAAAGGUGGUUUACUUCACAUGUUACCAUGGUCACGUGGAGAUUGCUCCAUUGUGAGAGCUUUGGGAGGAUUAGGGUUAGGGUUAGAAGACACAGUGUAUUUUUCAUGGAAACACAUGGAAGAUUUCCUUCCUUUCCCUUUAUAAGCAUGUGUUGAAAAGGCCCACAGAAACUGAUCCAAUUGCUUGCUGAUUCAAGCACAGAGGAAGGUGAUUACCCUUUCCACCUGGGGAGCAAGUGCUCUCUUCUUGCCAAGAGAAUGAAGGAGAGAAACAUCUCCACAUAUCCUAGAAACCAAAAAGUGUGUCUUCAUCUUCUCCAAGCACAAAACAGCAUGGUCUGGGAUUACUUUGCAGCUUACCCAGGAAUGCCCACUGGAAUCAAACCUUCUGAAGACAAGCAAGAAGUUCAUUAAGUACGCAAAGAAUAUGGGGAACUUCUGUUGAAAACUACCCCAAAAAUCGUGGCUGCCAUCAUGGGUUCUGGAAGAUUUUGAAUAGGAAGCUGCUCUGUUAUACUUUACUGUGAGAGCUUUUCACCAUUAACUUGCUCUGCUGGAAAAUAAAGAGCAAAACACCACAA